AGGAUCCCGCAGCCACCGGAGGCCCGCGGCCGAACCCGCGCCCGCGUCCUCGCCCGCGCCGGCGAGCCCCAGGCCGCGGAGAAGGCCGUCCGCGCGCGCACCAGGCCCGCCCCUCGCGCCGCGGCCCGCCUCCUCGCCUGGCGCCGCCCGCGCGCAGCGUCUCGCGCCGCCCGCCCGCUCGCUCGCCCGCCGGGAAACAGCCGCGAGAGCAGCGGCCGCCGCGGCCGCUCGCACCUCCUCGCAGUCUCUCUUCCCCGCUUCACCGCGUCGCCCAGGGCCGCGCGCCCUUCCGCCCGCUCCCCUCGCUGUCCCACCGCAUCGCUCCCGGUCGCGUGCCCGCCAGCGCCUGGCCAACGCUCCCUCGCGCCCGCCCGCGGUCGGUCUCCUCAACCGCCGCGCUCCGCCGGGCCGCGCGGCCCGCCGCCUGCUUCCGGGGCGGGCGGACUCUGGGCGCCUGGUGCCGGCGGCCGCAGCGACAGCGCCCCCGGGAAGCGCAGGAGGAAGCAGGGACGAGUGGAGGUGCCGCAGGCUGAGUCGCGGCCGGGAUGUCCGGGCAGCCGCCGCCACCGCCGCCGCAACAGCAGCCGCCGCCGCCGCCGCCCGCCGCCGGGGCCCCGGGCUCCGGAGUCGCCCUGCCCGCGGCCGCGGCCGCCAGCGCCGGCUCCUCCCCGGCCGGCUCGCCCGGUGGAGGCUUGGGGGCCGCAGCGGCCGCCCUGCUGCUCCACCCGCCGCCGCCGCCGCCGCCUCCCCCGGCCACCGCCGCGCCGCCGCCCCCCGCCUCGGCGGCCGCCCCCGCCACCGCGCCGCCCGGCCUGGCGGUGGGCCCCGGCCCGGCCGCAGGCGUCCCGGUCCCGGGCCUGGCGGCGGGCAGCAGCGCCGCUGCCCCUUUCCCGCACGGCGACUCGGCCCUCAACGAGCAGGAGAAGGAGCUGCAGAGGCGGCUGAAGCGCCUCUACCCGGCUGUGGAUGAGCAGGAGACGCCGCUGCCCCGGUCCUGGAGCCCGAAGGACAAGUUCAGCUACAUCGGCCUCUCGCAGAACAACCUGCGGGUGCACUACAAAGGUCAUGGUAAAACCCCCAAAGAUGCAGCAUCUGUUCGAGCCACGCAUCCAAUACCAGCGGCCUGUGGGAUUUAUUAUUUUGAAGUAAAAAUUGUCAGUAAGGGAAGAGAUGGCUACAUGGGAAUUGGUCUUUCUGCUCAAGGUGUGAACAUGAAUAGACUACCAGGUUGGGAUAAACAUUCAUAUGGUUACCAUGGGGAUGAUGGACAUUCAUUUUGUUCUUCUGGAACUGGACAACCGUAUGGACCAACUUUUACAACUGGUGAUGUCAUUGGCUGUUGUGUUAAUCUUAUCAACAAUACCUGCUUUUACACGAAGAAUGGACAUAGUUUAGGUAUUGCUUUCACCGACUUACCGCCAAAUUUGUAUCCUACUGUGGGGCUUCAGACACCAGGAGAAGUGGUUGAUGCCAACUUUGGGCAACAUCCUUUUGUGUUUGAUAUAGAAGACUACAUGCGAGAAUGGAGAACCAAAAUACAGGCCCAGAUAGACCGCUUUCCUAUCGGGGAUCGAGAAGGAGAAUGGCAGACCAUGAUCCAAAAGAAUUCAGAAGUUGGUGUUAGCAGGACGAAUGGGAGAAGCCAUUGAAACAACACAACAGUUAUACCCAAGUUUACUUGAAAGAAAUCCCAAUCUCCUUUUCACAUUAAAAGUACGUCAGUUUAUAGAAAUGGUGAAUGGUACAGACAGUGAAGUGCGGUGUUUGGGAGGCCGAAGUCCAAAAUCUCAAGACAGUUAUCCCGUCAGUCCUCGACCCUUUAGUAGUCCAAGCAUGAGCCCCAGUCAUGGAAUGAGUAUCCACAGCUUAGCACCAGGCAAAAGCAGCACUGCACAUUUUUCUGGUUUUGAAAGUUGUAGCAAUGGUGUAAUAUCAAAUAAAGCACACCAAUCAUAUUGCCAUAGUAAACACCAGCUAUCCAGCUUGACUGUACCGGAGCUAAACAGUCUCAAUGUAUCAAGGUCACAGCAAGUUAAUAACUUUACCAGUAAUGAUGUAGACAUGGAAACAGAUCACUACUCCAAUGGAGUUGGAGAAACUUCAUCCAAUGGUUUCCUAAAUGGUAGCUCUAAACAUGACCACGAAAUGGAAGAUUGUGACACCGAAAUGGAAGUUGACUGCAGUCAGUUAAGACGCCAGCUGUGUGGAGGAAGUCAGGCUGCCAUAGAGAGGAUGAUUCACUUUGGCCGAGAGCUACAAGCCAUGAGUGAGCAGCUGAGGAGAGAAUGUGGCAAGAACACAGCAAAUAAGAAAAUGCUGAAGGACGCAUUCAGCUUACUAGCAUAUUCGGAUCCUUGGAAUAGUCCAGUUGGAAAUCAGCUUGACCCAAUUCAGAGAGAACCUGUGUGCUCAGCUCUUAACAGUGCAAUAUUAGAAACCCACAAUCUGCCAAAGCAACCUCCACUUGCCCUAGCCAUGGGACAGGCCACACAGUGUCUAGGCCUGAUGGCUCGGUCAGGAGUUGGGUCCUGUGCAUUUGCCACAGUGGAAGACUACCUACAUUAGCUAUGCACUUCAAGAGCUCACACUCACAUUGUGGCAAACAGUCAACAUGGAAGUAGACCGGCUCUGCUGAUUUGAAAUUUAGAUUUUUUUUUAAUUAUGUACUGGGGACAGGUUUUUGUCGCUUUACAUUGCUUCCUAGUUUACAGCAUGAUGCAAAUGAUUUUCUAACUUAGUGUUAGGAGAAAAUAUUUUCCAUCUUUUAACCUCUUAGUUGUCUAAGAGUUAAAUAUUACUGAAUUUCAGACGUUCAAAUUGAUCAUCAGAAAUCCUUUAAAACAAUUACCUAAAAGAAACCAAAAAUCCUGCCUUCUUUGUUGGGGGGAGAAGGGGGAAGGAAAUGGAACAAGUUGUGUUUGUGUUAGCAUGUGGGUGAUGUAAACUACAAAUUGGGAGCUGUUCCGACCCCCGCUCCUGUGUAAGCAUUCAAUCAGUGUAACUUGCAAAAUGCAUAAACAUCCGACAGUUUGAAUUAAUAGUGUUGAUGGAAGAAAUCAUUUUUAAUGUGUACUGUAAAACUUGAAAUACUCAGGAGCUGAGUGAGUAUGUUUGUUGCUACUUACAAUCCCAACCUGUUAGUCCCAGUAGUUUUGUUUUAACAUGGUCUUUUUCAACUUUGUUUCCUGUUUAACUACAGAUGACUUCUGUUGUAGACUCACAAGUUUAACUGUUGUAUUAUAACAGUAUUACAUGUCAACAGUGUGGUUAUGACCUUUAUUUAUAUAAAAACCAAAUAUUUAGUCAAUUUACCGUGUCUUAAUUUAAUCUUUGUACACCUUCCAUUUUUAAGUGCUUAAAUGAGUACUAUAUUGCAAUAAAAAAUGUAGCGAUAUUAAAAAAAAUGUAGCGAUAUAAUUAACCAGCCAUUAAAAAUUUACUUCUACAGA